UGGAAACGAAACUACUCAAUUACCCCAUCCUUAGGAAUUCUUUGUCUGAUUGAUUUUAUAGUUUACUCUACUGCUGUUUACUGCAUCCUGUCAUCUGUUGCUUAGUUUCUGCAAUUCUUUACUGUUACUCGACCUUGUACUCGACCACCCAGUUGUCUGGCAACAGACUGUGCAGUCGAGUAUCCCUAUUUCAUUUUCUGUGUGUUACUCGACCUGUCACUCGACCUCACCCAGUGCUCUACAAAGAGCUGUGUUGGUCGAGUGUUUCACUGUUUCUGUUUGAUUUUCUGUUUUCUGCAUGUUCAUUUAGGACUGCUAGAACACACCAAAACCUGUUAUGCUUGGCUUGACUUAGUGACUUCUGAUCACAUCUUGAUUGUUAGCAUCACACCCAUUUGGAUUGAUAACCUAAAAUACUACAACGACAUGAUUGGUGUUUUAGGAUAAUUGACUUAAAAGCCUACUAUCAAUUUGGCGCCGUUGCCAAUUGGGUGUUUGUUUGUUACAUUUAAGAUUUCAGACUUGCUUAGAUCAAGUUCUUUUUUAAUUUUCUUUU
rnacentral:sRNA from 1 species